GCUUCGCUGGAGUAGUGGUUAACUCGUCUGCUUCCCAGGCGCCUUGUUUCCCACAAGGCUCAUGAAAGCAGGAUACAAGGGUUCGAACCCCUUGCGUAGCA